CAGCAGCCACGGUAAUACGAAGGGGGCUAGCGUUGCUCGGAAUGACUGGGCGUAAAGGGCGCGUAGGCGGUUUUGACAGUCAGAUACGAAAUUCCUGGGCCUAACCUGGGGGCUGCAUUUGAGACGUCAAGACUAGAGUGUGAGAGAGGGUUGUGGAAUUCCCAGUGUAGAGGUGAAAUUCGUAGAUAUUGGGAAGAACACCGGUGGCGAAGGCGGCAACCUGGCUCAUUACUGACGCUGAGGCGCGAAAGCGUGGGGAGCGAACAGGAUUAGAUACCCCCGUAGUCCCUGUCUCUUAUAC
rnacentral:rRNA from 1 species